GGGGUAUUCGUAUAUGUGGUUAAUACAAUUGAUUCUAACUCAAUAAAAAAGGGUUCGAGUCCUUUAUACUCCA
rnacentral:tRNA from 1 species